CGUGCGCAGUAGGCUGGACGGACCGCGCAUGCGCGACAUGGGCGGGACCUGCCCGACCGGAGAGACGGAGCUCUAUGCUGCGCAUGCGCGGCGCAUGCUGGCUGGGGGGAGCGGGGCUUGCGCGCUGUGAGGGGCUUCGUGCGCAUGCGCGGGAGGAGCUGCGGGUCAUGAGCUUUUCCCGCCCGUGCAGGGCGCGGCUGUGGGCGGGUCUGAGGGAGAGCGGUGGGGAAAUAGGGGGUAGCGCUGUACAGUGUGUGGGGUACGGCUUCAUGGGUGUGUGGGGGAGCGGGGUGUGACACUGAGGGCGCAGUGCUGAAGGACGCUACUUUGCAACGCUGGAGGCCUUGGGUUCGAAUCCCCCUGUGGCGCAAGUGGUAGCAGUGCCGCUCUGCAGCACAGAGGCUCCAAUCCCGGGGUUGGACUCGGUGAUCUCUAAGGUCCCUGCCAACCCGCACCGCACUGUGACACUGUGACGCUGUGCGGUGUGUGUAACGUGUAUUGCAGUGGUCUUCAUCCUAAAUGACGGGGCUGCCGGUGUGGCAUUUCCUUACAGUAACUUAUCAAGCGUGUGAAAUAUCAGUUAAAAGAACAACAAAAUCAAUAAAGUGGGUCAGAAUUUGGCCCAAUGUGCCCUUUUGGAAUUAGCCACUUACCAAAGGCUUCCUGCUUAAUAGGAGUCACUUGUCUCCAGCCGGGUUUGCCUUGCAGUGAGUGGAAAGGGUUAAAUUCUUUGCUUGCUAUUGAGGCAAAGAAACAAAAUAGUGAGCAAAGGGGAAGGAAUGUUUGCUGUAACCAGUCGGUCUCGGUUCCUCCAUGUCAUGCUCUCUCUAUAAGAUGUGCAUUUUUUUGGCAUGCCUUUCUUCAGGGGCUCUAUUUUGCAUCCUCAGAUGCCUCUGGUUUUGUAUUUUAAAGCUGUAAAAGGAGAGGUGUUAUCUGUUGAAAAAUGGCAAGAAUCUGCUCUGUGGCACUGCUUCAUUGCCUCCCAAAUAAUCCUGAACAAGCAACUGGAAAGAACAUAAGGCAAUAAUCCUCUCUUAUUUAACUAGCCAAGUUAAAGACCGUAUUUAGCUUUUGUUUUCAUAGAGAUAGAGGAAUUCCUGGUGAAACUCAGGUUCUGAAUUCUUUCUGAUUUUUUCUUUUUUAAAUUUCUUAAAUUAAAGCUUCAGUAGCAGGAAAAUCUUAACUUGCUUAUGAAACUGCAACCAAAGUCCUGUGACGUAUUAUCUGAUAUGUGCAGAGAAAACACGUGUAAUGUGCACUAGGCAGUGCUCCAUGCGGAUUGCAAUAGUGAUUGCUGCUGUCUUUAAAGCAAUUGUGGUGGCUCCCAAACCUGCCAUAGGUUAAUGGGAGCCUGGUGUUAGGGUUACUCUGCUAUGGAAAGGUUCCUUGUUUGAAAAGGCAGUCAUAGCUCUUAGCUAUCAACUCAGCAUCAUGAGGUAGGGGAUUCAUCGUUCCUUGCUCGCAGUUGAAGCUGUGCCGUUGACUAGAAGAGAACUGAGGACUUGGCACAGCAGUAUUUUGGAUCCAGUUAUUCAGGUGCUCACAUAGAAGGGAGACAAUUGGAGUUCCAUCUAAAACAACCUGCUCUAUUCUUUAUCCCUGUGUUGUCUCAGCCCAUAAACUGCGUUCGGAUCAGAUGUCAGAUCUCUUCCUCCUUCUUGAGAGUCAUAAUCAAUAUCUCAGUGAAUUGUGGUUGCUUCUCUCCCAGAUAGUUAUCAGAACCUUCAAAGGAGAGGGAAAUAAUGAAAGAAUACCUGCCACAUUGCAUCAGCUGGGGGUUUGGCAGUCCCUCAGGUACAUGGCAAGGUUAUUUCUCUCUAGUUAGUGCUACAUUACAGUGAUUGUCCUAUUGACCUUCAUCUGGCUCAAGCAACUGGAGAAUUCAGCUAUAACAAGUGCAAAAAGGAUUGGAGCAAGGAAAUGUGAGCUAUUCCUCCCCCUCUUUCCUGCCAGGUAAAUGUAUGUUUUCUUUGUAGCACCGUCAGUGUGUUGAAGCACAGGAAGCAUGAACCCAAUUGGGGAGGUUUGUACCCAUGACUUUUAGAAGCACAUUAAUACUAUACCAGUGUUGUUUUGAAGAUACCACAGAUGUCUUGCAUGACAAAGCAGGUACACACAAUCUGCUACAGGUGCCGUGCUAAACUAUUGCCUUGCCACUCAGCUCAGCGUCACUUCUCAGCAGAGCAGUGUCCUGGCUGCUGCUUUAAAUACUUGCUUUGAAUAGAGAGACAGAGGAGGGAAAAAUUUCUUUUGAAAUCUAUUUGUGUAUGUGCUAAAGGACAAGGGAGAACUGUGUUAUAUUCACUGCAUAGGAACAUUUAUUCUUAGACCCUGAUAUUGUUUCACUGGGGUUAACAAGUGUAUUAUUAGUGAUCACUAGUUACAAAUAAUAACCUGACCUUAUUUUUAACCUAAUACUGAAUCAGAUUUCAUUGUGAUAGACUCGCUGCUGUGCUUCAAUCUUUGAAUAUUAUCAUUAAGAAUUUCAGUGCCUUCCAUUUUAGAUGUUAAAAAUAGGCGGCAAGUUGGAUAAUAAUUAUCAUUCUGAAUCUCGUUGCAGUCUUACGUAACUGUGUUCUCACCAAAAGCCUUAUUUUAACGGUUGGGUUGAAGAACAUACUACAGUAACCUGAAAUUAUUUGCACUACUGUAGCUCAGUUAUGCAAAGCCUGGAUAGAAUACAUAUUUUUUCAAAGAAAGUUAGAGAACCAGUUUAAUAUUCAUGAAAACAAAGGUGCACAGACUGACUCAGGUCUGGCAUUGUAAAAUCAUGUGUUGUCAGCACCUCUCAGUCUUUAGCAUAAGCAUUCUUCAUAAUCCUAUAUUGCCCAAACAGAAACUCCUAGUCAUGCCAUCUCCCUGCCAGUCAAAAUAUUUGCGUAUGCAAUAAUGGUAAAUAAAUAAACAUGCAAAAUGAAAUAGCAAUGGUAAAUUACCUGGAGAGGGAAUAUCCCCGGGUGGAUGGAGCUACACUUGAUAAACCUGAGUUUCUUCAUUACUAACUCUGUGUUCUUACAUGAAAUAUUGUUUCCAGUUUUCCUAGCUAAAACUAUUUACCCUUGCAGCCUUGAGCUGGGCCACCUUUUCUCAUCAUCUCUCUCAAAUUCCCAUGACUUGGGAAAGGUAAAAAAUGACUGGGAAGGGCAGUGGUCAGUCCUGCGAACAAAAGAUACCUCCUUCAUAUACACCAGAUUUCCCAGUUCUCCCAGUGAUAGCUGUAACAGCAAACCCUGAUGUUUUCUCUUUGAGUAAUACAAUUUACUAAUUGGAACUGGAAUCUUAGUAACCAAACGUCUGAUUUUCUUUGUUAUAGAUGUACCAUUGGUGGUAACUGUUGAGUACAUUCAGUAACAAAAUAGCACCCUCCUUUCGUUAACCUGGGAGUACCCAUGUCCGGUACAUUUUGUUGCAUGUCUGUUGUACAGGUGCUGCAAACAUGCAGUUGGUAGAAGUCAAGGCCAUCAAAUCCUGGAAGCUUACAGGCCCGUUCUGCCCAAGUUCAUGCUGCUCUUGAGCUGUGUUAGAUGAAUAACUAGCUGAAUGUUCUUCAUAGGCAGUAAGUGCAUCCAAAAGCAGUUUCAAGCUCAAAAGCAGAAGCUAGUAAUAACCUUGCUUGCUACUGUGAUACACAGAGAUCCAGAUCAUCAAAACUGUAUUAUAAACUAUUCUCAGCUGCAUAUCUGUGUGUAACCUACCAUCCUGUGUUGCAGCUGUUUCUAGAUGGUAGUCUAUCAACGUACCUUUUCAUGAAGGGCUCUCUCUGUCCUCAGUAUAAACUUCACUUAAAAAAUAGCAUCUAUUACAAAGGAGAAUCAUUCAUAUUUGUACCUCUAGUAUUCCAAGCAACUGAAUUGGUUCAGCUACUACUCUUCUGAUUUUUUGACAAAGGCCAAUUGGAGGCAGCAGACAAACGUACCAAAAUGGAACAAGAAUUAUUCAUGUGUGGGUAAUAUAGCGAGUGAAAGAGUUUCCAUAAUAAAGUUGUGUACAUUACAGUAGCCUUGAGAUAGGACUGAUUUCUUUCACAACAAGUUCUUCUGGUUUCGUGUGACUAUUUAAUAUGCUUCUGUUUUCCAGAAAAUAACUCCUGCUUUUACUCUGUGCUGUGAAGCUGGUAUAGCAGGAGGUGCUAUGGGCUGCGGGUCAGGAGAUGGAACGUGUCUCUUGUAUCAGUUCUCAUUUCCCCUUCUGUGAGGUGUUACAGGAAUUUUGCUGGUUGAGUAGUUUUGUUUAUUGUUUGGUUUUGGUUUUUCUUACACUUCAAAGAAAGUGCAUUUCAGUUUAAGUUAUCCUUAAGAGGAAAUUGGUGACUAUUAGGUGAACAAACUUAUUAUUUUCUUAUGUCUGUAAAUGAUACAAGUGAACAAGCUUUUGGGCAGCACCACUGAAUGCAAAUGCUUGCCUUUCUUUGUGUGUGUUGUAAAUGUGGAUGCUUUCUACAUGAUCAUCCAGAAAAAAUACAUGUAAAUAUUCCUUUAACAGAGGUGAGCCUAUGAUGUUAAUAAAUAAAUAAAAAUCAAUGAACCAAA